UGAAGCAACCCUACAGAAUUCAGGAAGGAGACAGAGCUGUCCAUCAUCCACACUCCUUUUCAAGACUGUGUUGGAAGACACAGCAAGAGCAAUAAGGAAAGAGAAGAGAACUAGAGGGUACAAGGAGGCAUGAUUAGUCCAAGGAUCCCUGUUUGCAGAUGGCGUAUUGUAUAGAAGAGAUUCCAAAAAUUCUACCGGAAAACUUCUAGGAACAACUAAUUCAACAAUGUGACAGGAUAUAGAAUCUACUUGCCCAAAUCAGUAGCGUUUCUACACCUCUACAGUAAACACACAGAGGAGAUCAUGGACACAUGCCCAUUUGCAACAGCCUCAAAGAAAAUAGAGUAUCAGGAGCCUCUGGCUUCUGCUGGCUGAAGCAGCAGCAGCCUUGUUGCUAUUUCAUGCAGAAACAAGUGAUGCUGCCCACCUGAGCAGACUUAAAAGAGGGUAGUGAAUGCAGUCCCAAUCCUGUAAUUUUACCCCAAGACCUACUUCUGCAUGCUGGUUAGGCUUCAGGCAGAGAGGACCAAACAGCACCCGAGUUUCAGAAAGCUGACACUCAACUGUCAUCCCGUGGCUGGAAGAAGCUCAGUGGGAAAGAAUGUCUAUUGUGUAAGCACAAGGGCCUGAGUUCAAAUCCUCAACACAGAUGUAAAAGACC
rnacentral:lncRNA from 1 species